AGCAUGGAGACAUUGAUAUACAUAUAGUAUUUGAAAAAAAAGUUCUGAAAAGAUUUAUAAAAAUUAAUUUCUUUUGAAUUUACAAAUGAAAUUUUGGCAAAUUAGUAAAAUACUUAAAUAUUACUAAACUUUGGAGUGAACAUUAACAAUUUGUCAUUGCAUAUUUGAAAUUUAUAUUGUACUCAAGGUUUCAUAAUGAUGGUUACAAUGAGUAUAAUGAUCAUAUGAUGUCAAAAUAACAAAAUGCCAAAAUAGUGCGAAGUGAGGCUUCCAAUCAUCUAUAAAGUCAAACUCCUCAUCACUAGAACUACUAGACUCUACGUGGUCAAGUUCCACCAAACUAAUACGAACCAGCUCUACUUGUGUAACUCUAGCAUCCUCACCAAUAUGUGUUGGCUCCUUUGACUCUACAUCCCAUUGUGUUGCUAGACUCUCUUUGUAGAAAAGUGUCUUGUAGUCAAUGAGACAUAAAACAACUAUCUACAUCCACAAGCUUCUUUGUUUUCCUAGAAGUAAGUUUGUUUGUCUUAAAAGAGUGGAUGAAGCUACAAGUAGACCAGUUCCUCUCAGCAAUUGAAGAUAAAAAACUUAGGAUAGUAGCCCACCAUGAAAUUAGGUCCUCAUGUGUCAUAGUUGUCAUAUCCAUUUUGGUUGCUUUAGAAUAACCCUUACGAGUGGCAAAUUUUGUCCACUCAGUAUGAAUGAUGUUGGUCUCUACAGGAUCAUACAUCUUUUCGAGGGCCCUUAAGAACCAUACCUUCACCUCACAUCUUGUAUGGUUGUAACUCUACUAGGCCUUUGUUUGUACCACUUGGGGUACAAUGCAUAAGCAACCAUGUACAAGAGAGUAAUAAGCUUUUCCCAUAUCUAAUGAAUGAUUGGCUCAAUGUGCUCAUUGUAGAAUGCUAAUGUGGGGUCCUUAAUUGCACAACAAUCCCCAUUUGGUUAAGCAUAGUAUCAAUGCACUCAUACACCUCUCCAAGGUUAGGUGCUUUGGCAUCCCCAUACCUAUUGACUUGGAAAAUUGGAGUAAUGAUGGAGAAUGAAAAGCCAUGUACUAACAUAUCAAUUAUUCCUAUUACUAAAGGGUGCAGUGAAAGAUUGUAAACAAUGGGAUGUAUCUAUUCAGAAGAUUUUUAUUUACUUACCCCCAAAUCUCAGCCAAUAAGAAUAUAGGGUAGGUAAUAUUUAUAAUAUUUAAUUACCCAUAUAGUAAAAAGAGAAAUACAAUAAUAUAAAUAACCAAUAAUAAAAUAAACUAAAGGCGCAAUAAAAUAUUAAGGUGAGAUCAUGCCAAUAUUUUUUGCAUCACCCAAAAAAACAUCACUCUUCAUUACAUAAUUCACCCUCUUCCCCUACUCUAACUUGGAAUCAAAUCACCAAUUUCAAUCUAUCUUGGAAUCGGGACACUAAUUCCAAUCUAAUGCCUCUUGCAUCUCAAGCAUUCUCUCCAUGAGAAUGAAAUAGGAUGCAUAUCUAGCCUUAACAUGUUUCGAGAACUCUUUCUUAGAGAAGCUCCCCAAGAAUACAUGUGAAGUGUGGUGGUUGUAGAUAAACAUUUGCACAUCUCUAUCAUCAUUGAUUAUUGUUUUGAUCCAACACAUUUUUCCCAUUUUAUUGAGUUUAUUAUUUAUGAUAUGCACACAAGGAGUCCACCAAAUAUGUCUCUGAGCCACCUCAAUUAAUUUCCAUGUGGCUUUGCACACAUGGGCCACAUUUGUCACUAGUUGGGCCAUAUUUUGUGGUCCAACCUCCUCAAUAGAAUCCUUGAGGAUCUAAAAUUGAAAUUCAACAUCUUUGUGAUGCCUUGAACAAUCAACUAUCUUAAGAAAAUAUGAGUUAUUUGUACAUGCAACCAUGAUAUUAAUGUGUGGAUAAUGCCUAAUGUUCGUCCACCCAUCCAUGACUGUAAUGCAUCUACUUGCCACCCAACAUUCUUUCAUUUUCUUCAUUGACACAUUUAUCUUGGAAUAGUUCUUAUCCAAGAUUGUGGUCUUCAAUUUUGUCUUCCUUGGUGGCACAUGUGAUGGUCCUCCCAUUUCUACCAUCGUCAUCAUCUCCUUUUAAUCAAGAGAUUGAGCCACAUGGAAUGGAAUGCCAUUAGCAAAGAAAAAUUUGUCAAUGACAUCAUCUAAUCAUCCUUCAAUUGCACAUUGAAUAAUUCAACUAUUGGAUUACCAACAUCACUUGUCAACUUGCAUUUCCCCUAGCCUCUAUUGCAUGGGCCCUUGAAGAAGAACCCGACAUAUGUUCAACUUGCCUUUGCAAAGUAAAAGUAGACCUAUGUGGCUAGACCUAAUGACCCUAUAACCUAUGAGAUAAAUAAGAAGAUAUAGGUGCAACUGCAUUGUCUUCACUGACACUCCAUAGCUUAUAUAUCUCAACUUUGUAUUUCAAGUUUAUCGAUUUCCCCCAAAACUUACAUUCUUUCAAACAUUUUCCUUAAGUAUGAGAGAGGUGGGCAUUAACUUUGGUAAUGAUGCCGAAACAUUCAAGGUCUCAAAAGUGGCACUUUCACAACCUUGUGACCCUAGAUGUCCCAAGAUUACUUGGUAAUUUUGUUUCAAAUUGUUUCAAAAGAGACUUAUAAUCAUAUAGAUUCUUAGCAUAUUGUGUCAGCAAUGUGGUGGGGCAAUUAAUACUUGCAAUUGCACUCACCAUGGAACUAGUGGUUUGCUUUUCAUCCUCAUAGUCACCCCUUUUAGUCUCAACCUCAGGUGCAUAACCAAAUUCAAUACUUUCACUAUCAACCUCAACCUCAUCCUCACUCAUGCCACAAGAACUUAUUGUGACACUACAAUUAACAAUAUAAAACUUAUAAGUUCAUAAUUAUAAAAUUAAAAUUCAUUUACUAUCUUGCAACAUAAUGCAAAGGAUUAAGACAAUUUUUUUUUCUUACUUGCUAUUGUACAAAGUGCAAAAGCAAAGGCUACACAAAUAAAAAAUGUUAAUCUUAAUAUUUUUCAACCAACAAUUUCACUUUUGUUUCUCUUAUUUCAUAUCGCACAAAGUGCAAAAGCAAAGGGUACACAAGUUUCAACCUAUUCUAACAAACUUGAACCAUGUCUAUGAAAUUAUGAAACAUUAAAAUUCAACUUUGAAUUUGAUUUUUGUUUUCAGAAAAUAGUCAUAAAAUCCUACCUUAAUGCUUGAGAAAUCCUUUCAACCAUGAUGUGUUUUCUUCCUCUUCUUCUUGCUCCUUCUCACCCCUCUUGUACUCACACUCUUUCAUUCCUCUUCGACCUUGUUGUUGAUAAUAAUUUGUGAGUAAAGAUAAAGAAUUUAGAGUAUUAAAUAGAGUUUGGGAGGCAUUGGUGGGGCUUAUUGGUCAUUAGGGUUCGUCCUUGGACUUUGGUUUCGAGGAAAACUUAAAAAAUAUUAUAAUUUUUAUAUUUUUUACCUUGUCAGAUGGUCAACAGAUGCUUGGUCGUCCUUGGGAUGUCCUGAUGAUGUCCCAAUGGCAUCUUGACAAUCUUGGUGGUAGUGGCAGUGCAUCAGGAGGACGUCUCCCUAGCAUCCCCACAUCUCGAGGACAUCAUUGUCCUUGAAACAUCUAGAUUUUGUGGGGAGGGGAAUGUGUCCCCACGGUUAAUUAAUUAAAACAUUGUGAUUAAUCCUUUCAAAAGGCUGCUCUCUAUAGUCAAAGUUGUAAUGCUGACUUAAAAGUAUAGAAACCCCAUAAUAUAAAAGUAACAAUCAAUAAUAUAAGAAAAUAUCCAAUGCGGUGCCCUUGUGCUAUAUGGGUGUGAAGUUUGGGGUGGUAACACACCAACAAUGAAUGGAGAUAAGUAGUGCGAUUACAAAAGCUUCUAAUCACAAGUAGCUACAUUAGCAAUGGGACGAUUUUAUUUUGAGUUUACUUGUGAUUAGAUGCUUUUGCAAUCUCUCUAUUUGUCUUCAUAUAAUAAUAAUGAUAUUAAUUUAGUAAAUUAAUAUUAAAUUUUUAUACAAAUAGUUGGUAUAAUUAUAUGUAUUUAAAAUUACUUAAAAAAUCAACAAAUUUAGACUCUCAAUAAUAUUGUUGACAUGAAAUUUGUUUGCAAUAUUGAAGUGUUGUCUAGUUGAAGAAUUGUUCAAACUGAAAAUGAGGGGUUUCAUCCUCAAAUUUGAAGAGUUUUUUGUUAGAGCAUUUUAACUCUAGUUAUGCUUUUUUACUUAAGUUCACUUAGUUGCGCUUCUAGUUUGGCUAGAUUUGAGCAUUUUUUAGCUUCUCAUGCUUUCACUUUAGUUCUCCUAAUUUUACCUUAGGGAAUCUUUGUGUUGUCUAUAAAAACGCAUCAUUGUGCAUUGUAAGUUAAUCCUGUAAUCUUUGUUUUUGAGGAAUAUGGCACUUUUUUUGUGCUACUCUCAUUUGUGGAAUAUGUUCUAGUUUGUUGUUUGAUCUUGUAGGCUUGUGUUGCAAAAUUCAACAUGGUAUCAGAGUGUGGAUUCAACAAAUCCCUUCUCAAGUUUUCAGGGUUUCUUUUCUUAGAAGCAUUAUAGGGCCUCCAAGUUUGUCUACUUGUGUGGAUUUGGAAGUGGACAAUUAUUAUCAACUUUUGGAGCAAAAUGAGCGUUUAAUUUUUUUUGAAAUAUUUCCAUUUUUGGUAAGUUUCUAUUUUUAAAAAAUUUCUAUUUUUGGAAAGUUUCUAUUUUUAGAAAUUUAAUAUUUUUGAAAAUUUUCUAUUUCUAGAAACUCUUCAAGUCUUCCAAGUUCUCAUUGACAUGUAGUUGGUUUUUUUAGCCAUAACUUGGUGAUACAGAGUCAAAAUUGCACAAACAAGAUAUAAGAUAUACUUUCAAAAUCAAGAGGAUAUCACCACUACCAUUGUAAUCUACACUACCUAUUAGAUGAUGUUUGAAGGUGAAAAUUUUGAAUUAUGUGAGCUUCUAGGGCAAAAAUUGUUGGAUAACCUAGAGAAGACCAAGAAUUCAAAGUACCCAUUCAGGUAUGGGUCCUUGAUCAUUUGUUUAACAUUUAUGUUUAUGAAUGAGCUUUUGUGGAUUAGGAGUAAGGUAUAGGAUAAGUUCUGCCCUAUUGGGCUUGAGAUCAAGUAGAACAUUAGGAUUUUAACAAUUACAUAAAGGCAUGAAAUACCUUGCACUGGGGGUGUUUUAAGAAUUUUCAUUUCCAAGAUAAGAUGCAUGAAAGGGAGAGGAUUCCUAUCAGUUUGCUCAAUAAAUAUAGAUUAGAAGAGUUAGUGAAUAAAUGUGUAGUUGAACAUAGCCAGUUGCUACAAGCAAUAUGAGUGUUUGAGAAGAGUGUGGAGGAUGUUGUAACGACAUAUCAUUUUUGUCACUAGUGUCAUGCAACCACCAAAGACAUUAAGAGUCAAAUAGACAUUUUGAGAACAUAGGUUGUAUUGUUAUCUACUUUUGUAGACUGGAAGAAGGAUGUAGAUGGCAAUGGAAGACUUUAGAUAGAGAAUUUGUACACGUAGUUAAAUCUAUUGACUGAUAAGGACAAGAUUAAGACAGGGUUUGUUCAUGUGAUAGAUUUUGUAGAUUUGCAGCUAACCAACAUAGUGAGACUUCUUGAUGUCUCUUAGAAGUUGGAUUAGGCAGUAAAGGUUUUAGGUAGUUGUAGUGAGGUAGAGGAUGUUCUUAUGAAGAUGGAAAGUUAGCACAACAUUUGGACCUCUAUAGAGAAUGAUUGGAAGACCAGUUGGUCUCAUCUCAACUUUGUUUAUAAAGUUAUUAUGCCCCUUUCUAUGCAGACUCCUUAAUUUUUUUGUCAGUGAGACAAUUUUGUUCCCAUACAUACAUAUGUAGAUAAGUAGAAGCUUGGUGAAAUAUAGUUUUGAUUUUUAUUUUUUUUCAUACCCUAAGAGGGAGUUGAUGUUAGUAGGGGAGUAGUAUAUUGUCAUUGAGUUUGUGUUGUGUUGUGGAGAUGCCCUUUGUCCUUGAUGUCAAAGGUGGAGAUAAUUCAUUGUGGAAGAAGUGUUUCAGUGGAGUGAUAUGAUAAUAGUUUGGAGUUGGCACAAGUGUUGCCAUCAAUGACAAAGGGUGAGAUUGUUGUAAAUAUGAGUUUAUGUUAUCAUUGAUGUCAAACUUGUUGUCAUUAAUGAUAACUUUGGUCUAGAAGGUUGAUCGAUUGUGUUCUAGAGUAGUGCAAUAUCAGAGGAUUGCAUAUGUGUUCAUGUGGAUAUUUGUAGAAUGAUGGUGGUAGGUUUAUAUGGUAUAUUCAGUUGUCUUAUGACUUUUUCAGAACUUUGGAGGUGUAUUUUGUGGUCUGUAGUUGAAGUUAGCUAAAUGUGACUAUCUUGGUGAAUAGUCUAUCUGAUUAGGUAGUUUUAUGGUUCACAUUGUGGUGCAUUGCUUCAGCAUUACUUGUGGUUAUAGUAUGAUGUCCGUGGAUGAAAAUGCUUGAUAUAUCCUAGUUUUUAUGUUCUCAUUUGAUCUACAGUUGAAGUUGUGAUGGUUUGAGUAUCAUCUUGUAUAGUGAUAGUGUGAUAGUUUGCAGGAAUGCAUUGCAUUCCUCUGCCUUUAGUUUUUUUUUGUGGUGUGACUUAAUGACUUAGCUAUGUUUAUUUCAGUUGAUGCUAUGUUGUGCACCCACAAGAUUUUUGAUGGUCCUCAUCAUGUUUUGAGUAAGUUUGGUUGGUGUGCUUUAAUAGUUAUAUCAUUUGGAACUAACCUGUGCAAUUUUGGUUUGUGUGGUAGCAUGCAAAAUAGUAGGUGUUGUUAUAGGAUGGAUAUGAAGGUGUGUCGAUAUGGUGUGAUACUUCACACAUUCUAUUUUUCCUUCCGCAUUGCUUUGAAGAGUUUUUUGGGGCCAAAUGUGUAUAUCCUAUACGCUACAUCUAAUAAGGCCAACCUAAUUGAUGAUUCUUUGGUUGUGAAUGGUAUAUAAAGAUGGAAUCUAUUUGGAGGAUCAUAGAUGUUGUAUGAUUGAGAUGAAAAGUUGUGUAUGGUGUAUCUUGUAAGUACAAAGGUUUGCAAGUGCGGUUAAGUAGUGAUGAAGUCAGUUUCAGAUGUGUAAAAAUAAUGAACUUCAAUCAACAUUUCAAAGGAUGUGUUUCUCCAUAGUUCAACAAUAUAGAUUCAUUGUAUUCAGAUCUACUCUAUCUUGCUCUAGAGAAGUGAUAUUCAGUGUUUGCAAGUCCAUUGUAUCUUUCCCUAAGGUUGUGCACCUUAGUAUUGCAAGUCAAAAUCAUGAACAAUGAGCUUCCUUGGUCUUGAGCCUAAAACUUUGUAACCAGUUUUCAUAUAGUGGGAUAGUUCUCACCAUUGUUUUUCCCUCAUUGGGAUUUCAACGUAAAAUCUUGGUGUUCAUGUGUGUUUUCUCAAUUAUUUUUUAUUUCUUUACUUCUGCACACAUGGUGACUAGAAUGAAUGAAAAAUGAAUGGUUAAAUUAGUUAAGUUUUAAUAUAUGUUGAUUAAUCCCCCCAACAUCCAAAAGAGGUCAACAAUUUGUAUACGUGUUUAGUUUAUGUUUCUUUCCUUGAUAAUUAUAUAUUAUUUUGUAUCAAUAUUAUGCUAUGUGAACAUAUGUGAUUAUACCUAAUAUGGCACUGCCAUGGAGCCUCUACCACAAUCAUAUGCCAAGACUCUUGAUCAUUCUAGAGGAGUACCAUAUGCAGAACGCCUUUCAAAGAAAAGAUGUAGAGUUGAGGCAUCUUUAGUGCGACGGAAUACUUCGAGGAGGCUUGAUUUUGAUGACCCCUAACAAAUUUAGGAUAUGCUAGAGACAUGUAGUAGUCACUUGUGGACAUUUUGGGAUUCAUACAUAGCUAUUUGGUAUGUAUAUUUUGUAGAGAUCUUGAGAUGGCAUAUGACACAUUUUGUAAAACUUUGUUUGAGUUGGCGUUUAUGCCAUUUUUCUAUAUGGACAUGCACAAUUAUUGUAAAAUUUGAUAUAUAAAAGUUGAUAUUCGAUCUAA